AUUAAAUUUUGCACCUCGCUGUAAUUAAAUAUCACUGUAACUACAUAUUUUUAGCCUUCACAUUACAUAAUUGCAAGUUUCUUAUUUGGUUUGCAUUGAUUAUAGGAUACAUUUGAAAUAGGGGAUAAUUAUGAGGACAAUGCACUAUCCCAGCAAGUUGUGCAAAAGAAGUGUAACGUGUUACAUAAAGAUUGGAAGUGCAGAAUGAAGAAGAAAUGGGAGAAGCUUGUGGAUGCGGGAACUAAUCCCUAUGCUCAUCCAUACAAAGGAAUCAGAUUAGAUGAUUGGAAGUAUUUGAUUGACGAAGUAUGGUUAGAUCCUGCAAACAAGCGUCGCUACGACGCCGGCAAAAAAAAUAGGAGCAAGCUACCCUACAAUCACACAAGUGGGUCGCGAUCUUUUCCGGCAGCAAUGAGUAUUGCGGUGAAGGAAAAUGGUGGAGUGUUGCCAGAUCUCUGUAAUUUCUACAAGCACACUCAUCAGCACAAGAGGACAAAACAGUGGAUUGAUCCUAUAUGCGGUGAUUUACAUGCAAGUAUUCCAAUCAUUUGGACACUUAUACAUGCAACUUUUGUGUUUGUCUUAUACUAACAAUAUUUAUAUUUUACAAUUAUAGGAGCAAAUGACAAGGGUGCGGGAUGAGUCUAUCGAGGCUGGAACGCCGAUGAGGCAAGAGGAUAUAUCAAGAGUGGUUCUUGGUAAGAAGAAGGGAUACUUAAGAGGAUUUGGGGUUGGACCAAAGCCUUCUUCUUGUGAUUCUGGGUUCUCGGCUGCAUCACAAGCACGUGACGAGCAAUUGAAAAGGCUUACAUCCGAGUUGGAGAUACUGCGUGCGAAGCAGCAGAGCAACCGUGAGGAGCAACAAAAAAAAGAAGAGGAGCAACAAAUGAAAGAGGCAGAGAAUACAAGACAACGUGAGGACAUGCAGCAGCAGCUUUUUGGACUUCAGAACAUGUUGGCACAAGUUUUGGAAAAUCGCAAUCCACCAAAUUCUCGACAAUAGAUGGCUUAGUGGUAAUUGAUGGAUGAACUCGUGCACAAAGCUAAAUUGUACAGGACAAAUAGGCACUUUUUGGAUU